rnacentral:rRNA from 1 species
AACGAACGCUGGCGGCAUGCCUAACACAUGCAAGUCGAACGAGACCUUCGGGUCUAGUGGCGCACGGGUGCGUAACGCGUGGGAAUCUGCCCUUGGGUUCGGAAUAACAGUUAGAAAUGACUGCUAAUACCGGAUAAUGUCUUCGGACCAAAGAUUUAUCGCCCAGGGAUGAGCCCGCGUAGGAUUAGCUAGUUGGUGAGGUAAAGGCUCACCAAGGCGACGAUCCUUAGCUGGUCUGAGAGGAUGAUCAGCCACACUGGGACUGAGACACGGCCCAGACUCCUACGGGAGGCAGCAGUGGGGGAAUAUUGGGACAAUGGGCGAAAGCCUGAUCCAGCAAUGCCGCGUGAGUGAUGAAGGCCUUAGGGUUGUAAAGCUCUUUUACCCGGGAUGAUAAUGACAGUACCGGGAGAAUAAGCCCCGGCUAACUCCGUGCCAGCAGCCGCGGUAAU